CAAUUCCUAGAAGAAAUGGGCUUAGGAAACAAGUUAUAGGAUAAAGGAAGUGCCCUUAGAGCGUGGGAGUGAGGAAGCUAAUGGUAACCUGCCUGAGGCAGGGCAGGGGAGGAGGGAGGGAAAGGUAUGGGGGCAUGCUCCCUGGAAGGAGAGCUGGGUUUGUCAUUUUUAAGCCCGUGGUAAACAAUAAUCAUAAAUGGAAAGACUUGCAGGUAUUGUCAUAGCAGAUCCUAUGGUAGAGCCUUGAACAUGACUCACACCAGUGUUGAAACAGUGCACGGGUGAAUGGAUUAAUUAUCAGGCUACACUAUGACCAGGGCCGAUACCCAGCUGUUGGUGCCUAUAAGGGCCAAGGUUCAUUCCCAUUGGUCAAAACUCCACCCUAUUGGGCCGGCACCCCGACUGUACAUUAAUCAUUAGAGAUAGCCCCCAGUUUGGGAGAACAGGUCUCCACAUUGCAAAUUGGGUUAAAAAGAGAUGUUUCGAACUCAAUUAAUAUGACAUAUUCUUAGGACUGGUUAGAACCUGAUUGGCUGGGGCUCUGGAUAGUCUCAGGGCUGCAAUAAGGUGGAUCUUGGAGAAAGUAUCGGGAUUUAAAGUAGAUCACACAGAAUGGGUGAAUAUAGCUCCUGAGUAAAUCUGGAGGUGAAACCUGAGAGCAGCAAAGGGGUACAAAGACCAGGAGCAAGAGGUGGAUGGGCAGGGGCUCACUGAAGUGGAAGGCAAUGAAGAAGGAACAAGAGGGAGGAAGAUGUGUCAGGAAGUUCAGCUAUAAGGGACAGAAAACCCAAAGCAACAGACGUUGCAGUGAACGAAAGUGCGAUUCUGGAAAUGAGCCGUCCACAGCUGAUAGGGCAGCUCCAGGAGCAUCGCGGUUCCAGACGCCUCUCUUGCUGCCUCACCAUCCUCAACUGCUUCUCCCUCUUGGUCAAAAGUGGCAGCUCUGACUCCAGCCAGCUGGUGGAGGAAGGAGCACGGAGGAAGGUGAGAAGAGAUACUGGGAAACAAUGCAAGAGCAGGGACUCAGACAAACUUUGGCUGUUUUGUCCCAGCUCCCAGCUCCUGGCUCCUUGUUAAGGGUGGAACAGCCUUAAGCAGGAAAAUAUGUGAUCACAACUGCAGGCAACAGCAUCCUGGAUCCAUGAGGUGGAAACUGCCCUCGCAGGGGCUGAGCCCUUAGCAGAGAAAGGGAGAAGCUUAAGCCUGAAAGUGCGUCACCUCACUGCAGGAGCAGGCAGAAUAUGCCAGGGCGCUGCUCCUCAGCUCCUCAGCACAGAACAGAGGGCAGGGGGAGCUCCGAAGGCCGGCUGCCCUGCACACACUGCACUGCAAGCUGAAACGUGUGCCGGGGGAGCCACGGCUCAGGUGAGAGCUCAGAGCUGACAGCACUGGGGAGGGGACUGUAGCCCUGAGGUUGGUUUGGGGGUGUGGGUUUUUCACUCAUAUACGUAUCUUGUAUCAUGGAGUGGACUUCUGUGUGUACUGGCUCCCUAACUUGACCUUGGGGAUUGAGGAAAUGUCACCCACUUCUGUGUCACCAGGGAAUGCAUUCCAGAGCGGACUAAGCCCACUUGGGGGUCAUGGUCAGCUCAUGUGCAUUUGGGCGAAUUGCAGGAGAGCGGCGGAGGGGUCAUGGCAUAAACAAAACCCAGGUCUGCAGCUCUCGGCCCUGACCAGACUGCCUCUCAGGAUCUUCCUCAGGACAGCAGAGCCCUCCUCCGGGGAGGGAUGCCCCUCAGGCCAGAAGGAAAUUCAAAUCCAGACUAAAUGCAUUUAAAAAAAAAUUUUUUUUUAUGAGACAGAAGAGAGGAGGAGGAGGAAAGGCCCUGCAGGCAGCUUUGAGCUUACUGUACAGAGGGCACCAGAAAAAUGUCAUUUGAAGAAUGGGCAGAGGAGACAAAGAGGGUAGUGUGACAGGAAGCCAGGGAGGAAUAAAGCCAGGAAACAGAGUGGGCGGGGAAGAGGGCCACAGAGAGCGGAGGAGGACCUCUGUCAGGAGGAGGUGGGAGAACAAAGGGGGCAGGGAUGGUGCAUCUCAGCGUGAGGGUGGCCAGGGUGGAAGGCGGAAGGCGGAGCUGCUAGAUCAGAACCUGCUCCGUGUUUCUCCCAACGCUGAGUUUCACAGGGGCCUGGAGAGUAGCAGCCCCAGUUGGAGGGCCCGGCCAGCCCUGUCAGACGCACUGUCCUCCUGCCCCUUCUGGUUUCCUUAGCUGGAGCCGGCCUCCACCUGCCACUGGCCGUGGAUGACCCCACCUCCUGCCCCGCACCUGCACACCCAACUGCCAAGCAGCACUUGCCUGAGGGGCAGCCGCACUGGGCGUUGGGAAGAAGGACGUGGAGAGAAGCUGUUUCUGUCCACACUGUUUGAUCCUUUGGGAGCAGGGUAUGUACUGGCAGGGCAACUCUCAGGACGAAGGCAACGGCACUGUAGGAAGGAAUGGGGUGGAGCGGCCAGGCCACGUGGCCAGGCCUAGGCUGACGGCCCAGAGCUCAUUUGUUCACUCUACAAGCGUUUGUCGAAUGAAUGUCUGCUAGAAUAGAGCAAAUCAGACAAAGUCUCUGUCUCUUGGAUUCCAGUUUACAUUCUGUCUGGGGUGAUGGACAAGCGAACGGCAAGUACUUGUUCCGCAGGCGCCGUGGUGUGGUUUGGCUUGCCUGGUCUGGGUGGUCCUCACUGCUCAGCCAGGUUGAGGGGCUUGGGACCAGAUCCUCUCAACUCUGACACAGCAAUACAGAGCAGAAGCACAGUCCAGACUUUGGGGCACCAAUACUAACUUGAUUUUGCACCAACGUUUUAUGCAUUUUAUUUUUCUUCUCGCAUUUCCAAAAUAGUCACUAAUCCUUUCAGGGUAGGAGGGAAGGGAGGCCUCCUCCGGAUGGAGACACAUCGGCCGCCUCUGGGCCUUCUUCCCUCAGCAUCUUCCCCUAAUUCACCCUCCUGAGCCCUGGAGGAGCCUUUAUAACAUGCUGAUCUCAUCGUGUGAUUCUGGCUUUAAAGUUGGUAAUUGGCUGGGAUGCUUUUGACUCUCAAGGAGUAGAAUGCUGCCAGCGAGGAUGUAGGAUGGGGAGCCUGAGAACCUAGUGGCUGGGAGCACAGUGUUUAGCGUCAGCCUGAGUUCAAACUGCACCUCUGGCACGUCUGAGUCACGUGAAAGGUCAAGCCACUCAACUUUUCUUUCAGAUGCAUUUCCUCAUUUGUAUAAUG